GACGAACGCUGGCGGCGUGCUUAACACAUGCAAGUCGAACGGAAAGGCCCUGCUUUUGUGGGGUGCUCGAGUGGCGAACGGGUGAGUAACACGUGAGUAAUCUGCCCUUGACUUUGGGAUAACUUUAGGAAACUGGGGCUAAUACCGGAUAGGAGCUCCUGCUGCAUGGUGUGGGUUGGAGAGUUUCGGCGGUUGGGGAUGGACUCGCGGCUUAUCAGCUUGUUGGUGGGGUAGUGGCUUACCAAGGCGUUGACGGGUAGCCGGCCUGAGAGGGUGACCGGCCACAUUGGGACUGAGAUACGGCCCAGACUCCUACGGGAGGCAGCAGUGGGGAAUAUUGCACAAUGGGCGGAAGCCUGAUGCAGCAACGCCGCGUGCGGGAUGACGGCCUUCGGGUUGUAAACCGCUUUCGCCUGUGACGAAGCGUGAGUGACGGUAAUGGGUAAAGAAGCACCGGCUAACUACGUG
rnacentral:rRNA from 1 species